CCUACGGGAGGCAGCAGUGAGGAAUAUUGGUCAAUGGACGAGAGUCUGAACCAGCCACGUAGCGUGAAGGAUGACUGCCCUAUGGGUUGUAAACUUCUUUUAUAUGGGAAUAAAAUGUUCCACGUGUGGGAUUUUGUAUGUACCAUAUGAAUAAGGAUCGGCUAACUCCGUGCCAGCAGCCGCGGUAAUACGGAGGAUCCGAGCUUUAUCCGGAUUUAUUGGGUGUAAAGGGAGCGUAGGUGGAUUGUUAAGUCAGUUGUGAAAGUUUGCGGCUCAACCGUAAAAUUGCAGUUGAAACUGGCAGUCUUGAGUACAGUAGAGGUGGGCGGAAUUCGUGGUGUAGCGGUGAAAUGCUUAGAUAUCACGAAGAACUCCGAUUGCGAAGGCAGUUCACUGGACUGCAACUGACACUGAGGCUCGAAAGUGUGGGUAUCAAACAGGAUUAGAUACCCGUGUAGUC
rnacentral:rRNA from 1 species